rnacentral:rRNA from 1 species
GGGUUGUGAGGUUAAGCGACUAAGCGUACACGGUGGAUGCCCUGGCAGUCAGAGGCGAUGAAGGGCGUGCUAAUCUGCGAUAAGCGCCGGUAAGGUGAUAUGAACCGUUAUAACCGGCGAUACCCGAAUGGGGAAACCCAGUGUGAUUCGUCACACUAUCAUUAACUGAAUCCAUAGGUUAAUGAGGCGAACCGGGGGAACUGAAACAUCUAAGUACCCCGAGGAAAAGAAAUCAACCGAGAUUCCCCCAGUAGCGGCGAGCGAACGGGGAGGAGCCCAGAGCCUGAAUCAGCAUGUGUGUUAGUGGAAGCGUCUGGAAAGGCGCGCGAUACAGGGUGACAGCCCCGUACACAAAAGCGCAUGUGCUGUGAGCUCGAUGAGUAGGGCGGGACACGUGGUAUCCUGUCUGAAUAUGGGGGGACCAUCCUCCAAGGCUAAAUACUCCUGACUGACCGAUAGUGAACCAGUACCGUGAGGGAAAGGCGAAAAGAACCCCGGCGAGGGGAGUGAAAAAGAACCUGAAACCGUGUACGUACAAGCAGUGGGAGCACAGGUUUACCUGUGUGACUGCGUACCUUUUGUAUAAUGGGUCAGCGACUUAUAUUCUGUAGCAAGGUUAACCGAAUAGGGGAGCCGGAGGGAAACCGAGUCUUAAUUGGGCGUUAAGUUGCAGGGUAUAGACCCGAAACCCGGUGAUCUAGCCAUGGGCAGGUUGAAGGUUGGGUAACACUAACUGGAGGACCGAACCGACUAAUGUUGAAAAAUUAGCGGAUGACCUGUGGCUGGGGGUGAAAGGCCAAUCAAACCGGGAGAUAGCUGGUUCUCCCCGAAAGCUAUUUAGGUAGCGCCUCGUGAAUUCAUCUCCGGGGGUAGAGCACUGUUUCGGCUAGGGGGCCAUCCCGGCUUACCAACCCGAUGCAAACUGCGAAUACCGGAGAAUGUUAUCACGGGAGACACACGGCGGGUGCUAACGUCCGUCGUGAAGAGGGAAACAACCCAGACCGCCAGCUAAGGUCCCAAAGUCAUGGUUAAGUGGGAAACGAUGUGGGAAGGCCCAGACAGCCAGGAUGUUGGCUUAGAAGCAGCCAUCAUUUAAAGAAAGCGUAAUAGCUCACUGGUCGAGUCGGCCUGCGCGGAAGAUGUAACGGGGCUAAACCAUGCACCGAAGCUGCGGCAGCGAACGUAUCACCCAAGACAACUUUACGGAGUUGACGAUUGACGGAGCGAAGCGACGUCAAAGCGUUCAUUAAAGUCGAGUUGGCUUAGGGAUACGUUCGUUGGGUAGGGGAGCGUUCUGUAAGCCUGUGAAGGUGUGUCGUGAGGCAUGCUGGAGGUAUCAGAAGUGCGAAUGCUGACAUAAGUAACGAUAAAGCGGGUGAAAAGCCCGCUCGCCGGAAGACCAAGGGUUCCUGUCCAACGUUAAUCGGGGCAGGGUGAGUCGACCCCUAAGGCGAGGCCGAAAGGCGUAGUCGAUGGGAAACGGGUUAAUAUUCCCGUACUUGGUGUUACUGCGAAGGGGGGACGGAGAAGGCUAUGUUGGCCGGGCGACGGUUGUCCCGGUUUAAGCGUGUAGGUGUGUGUUCCAGGUAAAUCCGGUUCACUUUAACACUGAGGCGUGACGACGAGGCACUACGGUGCUGAAGCAACAAAUGCCCUGCUUCCAGGAAAAGCCUCUAAGCAUCAGGUAACACGAAAUCGUACCCCAAACCGACACAGGUGGUCAGGUAGAGAAUACCAAGGCGCUUGAGAGAACUCGGGUGAAGGAACUAGGCAAAAUGGUGCCGUAACUUCGGGAGAAGGCACGCUGACACGUAGGUGAAGUGAUUUACUCACGGAGCUGAAGUCAGUCGAAGAUACCAGCUGGCUGCAACUGUUUAUUAAAAACACAGCACUGUGCAAACACGAAAGUGGACGUAUACGGUGUGACGCCUGCCCGGUGCCGGAAGGUUAAUUGAUGGGGUCAGCGCAAGCGAAGCUCCUGAUCGAAGCCCCGGUAAACGGCGGCCGUAACUAUAACGGUCCUAAGGUAGCGAAAUUCCUUGUCGGGUAAGUUCCGACCUGCACGAAUGGCGUAAUGAUGGCCAGGCUGUCUCCACCCGAGACUCAGUGAAAUUGAACUCGCUGUGAAGAUGCAGUGUACCCGCGGCAAGACGGAAAGACCCCGUGAACCUUUACUAUAGCUUGACACUGAACAUUGAGCCUUGAUGUGUAGGAUAGGUGGGAGGCUUUGAAGUGUGGACGCCAGUCUGCAUGGAGCCGACCUUGAAAUACCACCCUUUAAUGUUUGAUGUUCUAACGUGGACCCGUAAUCCGGGUUGCGGACAGUGUCUGGUGGGUAGUUUGACUGGGGCGGUCUCCUCCUAAAGAGUAACGGAGGAGCACGAAGGUUGGCUAAUCCUGGUCGGACAUCAGGAGGUUAGUGCAAUGGCAUAAGCCAGCUUGACUGCGAGCGUGACGGCGCGAGCAGGUGCGAAAGCAGGUCAUAGUGAUCCGGUGGUUCUGAAUGGAAGGGCCAUCGCUCAACGGAUAAAAGGUACUCCGGGGAUAACAGGCUGAUACCGCCCAAGAGUUCAUAUCGACGGCGGUGUUUGGCACCUCGAUGUCGGCUCAUCACAUCCUGGGGCUGAAGUAGGUCCCAAGGGUAUGGCUGUUCGCCAUUUAAAGUGGUACGCGAGCUGGGUUUAGAACGUCGUGAGACAGUUCGGUCCCUAUCUGCCGUGGGCGCUGGAGAACUGAGGGGGGCUGCUCCUAGUACGAGAGGACCGGAGUGGACGCAUCACUGGUGUUCGGGUUGUCAUGCCAAUGGCACUGCCCGGUAGCUAAAUGCGGAAGAGAUAAGUGCUGAAAGCAUCUAAGCACGAAACUUGCCCCGAGAUGAGUUCUCCCUGAGACUUAGAGUCUCCUGAAGGAACGUUGAAGACGACGACGUUGAUAGGCCGGGUGUGUAAGCGCAGCGAUGCGUUGAGCUAACCGGUACUAAUGAACCGUGAGGCUUAACCUUACAACGCCGAAG